rnacentral:rRNA from 1 species
GACGAACGCUGGCGGCGUGCUUAACACAUGCAAGUCGAACGGAAAGGCCCUGCUUUUGUGGGGUGCUCGAGUGGCGAACGGGUGAGUAACACGUGAGUAACCUGCCCUUGACUUUGGGAUAACUUCAGGAAACUGGGGCUAAUACCGGAUAGGAGCUCCUGCUGCAUGGUGGUGGUUGGAAAGUUUCGGCGGUUGGGGAUGGACUCGCGGCUUAUCAGCUUGUUGGUGGGGUAGUGGCUUACCAAGGCUUUGACGGGUAGCCGGCCUGAGAGGGUGACCGGCCACAUUGGGACUGAGAUACGGACCAGACGCCUACGGGCGGCAGCAGUGGGGAAUAUUGCACAAUGGGCGGAAGCCUGAUGCAGCAACGCCGCGUGCGGGAUGACGGCCUUCGGGUUGUAAACCGCUUUCGCCUGUGACGAAGCGUGAGUGACGGUAAUGGGUAAAGAAGCACCGGCUAACUACGUG